rnacentral:rRNA from 1 species
GACGAACGCUGGCGGCGUGCCUAAUACAUGCAAGUAGAACGCUGAAGGAGGAGCUUGCUUCUCUGGAUGAGUUGCGAACGGGUGAGUAACGCGUAGGUAACCUGCCUGGUAGCGGGGGAUAACUAUUGGAAACGAUAGCUAAUACCGCAUAAGAUUGGCUAUUGCAUGAUAGUCAGUUAAAAGGUGCAAUUGCAUCACUACCAGAUGGACCUGCGUUGUAUUAGCUAGUUGGUGGGGUAACGGCUCACCAAGGCGACGAUACAUAGCCGACCUGAGAGGGUGAUCGGCCACACUGGGACUGAGACACGGCCCAGACUCCUACGGGAGGCAGCAGUAGGGAAUCUUCGGCAAUGGACGGAAGUCUGACCGAGCAACGCCGCGUGAGUGAAGAAGGUUUUCGGAUCGUAAAGCUCUGUUGUAAGAGAAGAACGAGUGUGAGAGUGGAAAGUUCACACUGUGACGGUAUCUUACCAGAAAGGGACGGCUAACUACGUG